UACGUAGGGUGCGAGCGUUAAUCGGAAUUACUGGGCGUAAAGCGUGCGCAGGCGGUUCUGAAAGUCAGCUGUGAAAGCCCCGGGCUUAACCUGGGAAUUGCGGUUGAAACUACAGGGCUAGAAUCUGGCAGAGGGGGGUGGAAUUCCACGUGUAGCAGUGAAAUGCGUAGAUAUGCGGAGGAACACCGAUGGCGAAGGCAAUCCCCUGGGCCUGCACUGACGCUCAUGCACGAAAGCGUGGGUAGCAAACAGG
rnacentral:rRNA from 1 species